rnacentral:rRNA from 1 species
AUUGAACGCUGGCGGCAGGCCUAACACAUGCAAGUCGAGCGGGGUUUUCGGACCUAGCGGCGGACGGGUGAGUAAUGCGUAGGAAGCUACCCAAUAGAGGGGGAUACCAGUUGGAAACGACUGUUAAUACCGCAUAAUGUCUACGGACCAAAGUGUGGGACCUUCGGGCCACAUGCUAUUGGAUGCGCCUACGUGGGAUUAGCUAGUUGGUGGGGUAAUGGCUCACCAGGGCGACGAUCCCUAGCUGGUUUGAGAGGAUGAUCAGCCACACUGGAAAUGAGACACGGGCCAGACUCCUACGUGAGGCAGCAGUGGGGAAUAUUGGACAAUGGGCGCAAGCCUGAUCCAGACAUGCCGCGUGUGUGAAGAAGGCCUUCGGGUUGUAAAGCACUUUCAGUAGGGAGGAAGGGUGUUGUGUCAAUAGCACAGCAUUUUGACGUUACCUACAGAAGAAGCACCGGCUAACUCUGUGCCAGCAGCCGCCGUAAUAC